GUGUAGAGAUACUGGAUGACAAGUGGAGAUAGUUGUUGGAGAACAACUAGUACUGAGCAUGACCAUACGAGAAAUCAUUUAGAUUUUUAUUCAAUCAUCAGUGAUUGUCUCGAUGUUGUAGUUGUGUAAAUGAUCUUUUGAUCUGAGAUGGUACUACUACUCGCAGUGACACUGCUGGAGUUUGACUGAUAUAUAAACAUAGAUUUUAAUGAGCCCUUGUAGUGGAUGUUGGCACAGUUGUUCUACUGUAGGAGUAGGAUAUGCAUCAAGAUGGGAUCUAUCGAUUUUGAUAGAGAGAAGUAGU
rnacentral:lncRNA from 1 species